UUCUAUGAUUCUGGUGUCUCUGAUGAUAUCAUAGGGUUUCCAUAACAACUUAGGCUUCAUUGUCACACAAUGGCUUCUCAGUGACUCCAUGCAGGUCUCCAAGCCUGUCACACCCUGCCUUCAUGAUCAAGCCUCCAGGAUCUCCAUGUCUAUAAAAUCAUGUGGAUCUCAAUGCCAGUUCUGCUGACAGCUUAGGGUCCUCACUCAAGAUCUCUGAACACAGGCGGAAGAUAGCCAGAUGCUUUACCAGAAUGUCACAUGAAUGCCUCCAAAGCCUAGUUCCUGAGAGAAUCCUUAUUUCCCUCGGAAAUAUCAGCAUCCAAGCCUCCAGAGUCUGCAUGUCUCUCUGUAUUCUGAUCUUCCCAGCCUCACCAGAAUGGUGAUCUGGGCAAGUUCCCUGUGCAUCUGUAGACUGGCAAUAAAGACUUUGGCUUUGGCUUUAA